UACGGAGGGGGCUAGCGUUGUUCGGAAUUACUGGGCGUAAAGCGCACGUAGGCGGCUUUGUAAGUUAGAGGUGAAAGCCCGGGGCUCAACUCCGGAAUUGCCUUUAAGACUGCAUCGCUAGAAUUGUGGAGAGGUAAGUGGAAUUCCGAGUGUAGAGGUGAAAUUCGUAGAUAUUCGGAAGAACACCAGUGGCGAAGGCGGGGUC
rnacentral:rRNA from 1 species